GCUUGACACACAGUACGUGCUCAAUAAAUAGCAGCUGCUGUUAUGAUCACUGGAGUAAAGAUAUUUUGGGGAGACAGUGACUGAAUGCGUCAAAGCCCCAAGGGAAGAGGGCCGUCCUGGAGCUGCUCUGCAGAAGUCCCUGGGGUGAUUGUUUUUGGAGCCCACUGAAGAACACCACCUGACCAGGGUCUCCCUAAAUUGCCGAGGGACUCACUAAAUUGCC